rnacentral:rRNA from 1 species
UAUUGGACAAUGGGCGGAAGCCUGAUCCAGCCAUGCCGCGUGUGUGAAGAAGGCCUUUUGGUUGUAAAGCACUUUAAGCGAGGAGGAGGCUGCCUGGAUUAAUACUCUAGGAUAGUGGACGUUACUCGCAGAAUAAGCACCGGCUAACUCUGUGCCAGCAGCCGCGGUAAUACAGAGGGUGUGAGCGUUAAUCGGAUUUACUGGGCGUAAAGCGUGCGUAGGCGGCUUUUUAAGUCGGAUGUGAAAUCCCCGAGCUUAACUUGGGAAUUGCAUUCGAUACUGGGAAGCUAGAGUAUGGGAGAGGAUGGUAGAAUUCCAGGUGUAGCGGUGAAAUGCGUAGAGAUCUGGAGGAAUACCGAUGGCGAAGGCAGCCAUCUGGCCUAAUACUGACGCUGAGGUACGAAAGCAUGGGGAGCAAACAGG